CCUACGGGAGGCAGCAGUAGGGAAUCUUGCGCAAUGGGCGAAAGCCUGACGCAGCCAUGCCGCGUGAAUGAUGAAGGUCUUAGGAUUGUAAAAUUCUUUCACCGGGGACGAUAAUGACGGUACCCGGAGAAGAAGCCCCGGCUAACUUCGUGCCAGCAGCCGCGGUAAUACGAAGGGGGCUAGCGUUGCUCGGAAUUACUGGGCGUAAAGGGAGCGUAGGCGGAUAGUUUAGUCAGAGGUGAAAGCCCAGGGCUCAACCUUGGAACUGCCUUUGAUACUGGCUAUCUUGAGUAUGGGAGAGGUGAGUGGAACUCCGAGUGUAGAGGUGAAAUUCGUAGAUAUUCGGAAGAACACCAGUGACGAAGGCGACUCACUGGCCCAUUACUGACGCUGAGGCUCGAAAGCGUGGGGAGCAAACAGGAUUAGAUACCCUGGUAGUCCACGCCGUAAACGAUGAGUGCUAGUUGUCGGCAUGCAUGCAUGUCGGUGACGCAGCUAACGCAUUAAGCACUCCGCCUGGGGAGUACGGUCGCAAGNUUAAAACUCAAAGGAAUUGACGG
rnacentral:rRNA from 1 species